rnacentral:rRNA from 1 species
GAUGAACGCUGGCGGCGUGCCUAAUACAUGCAAGUCGAGCGAACGGACGAGAAGCUUGCUUCUCUGAUGUUAGCGGCGGACGGGUGAGUAACACGUGGAUAACCUACCUAUAAGACUGGGAUAACUUCGGGAAACCGGAGCUAAUACCGGAUAAUAUUUUGAACCGCAUGGUUCAAAAGUGAAAGACGGUCUUGCUGUCACUUAUAGAUGGAUCCGCGCUGCAUUAGCUAGUUGGUAAGGUAACGGCUUACCAAGGCAACGAUGCAUAGCCGACCUGAGAGGGUGAUCGGCCACACUGGAACUGAGACACGGUCCAGACUCCUACGGGAGGCAGCAGUAGGGAAUCUUCCGCAAUGGGCGAAAGCCUGACGGAGCAACGCCGCGUGAGUGAUGAAGGUCUUCGGAUCGUAAAACUCUGUUAUUAGGGAAGAACAUAUGUGUAAGUAACUGUGCACAUCUUGACGGUACCUAAUCAGAAAGCCACGGCUAACUACGUGCCAGCAGCCGCGGUAAUACGUAGGUGGCAAGCGUUAUCCGGAAUUAUUGGGCGUAAAGCGCGCGUAGGCGGUUUUUUAAGUCUGAUGUGAAAGCCCACGGCUCAACCGUGGAGGGUCAUUGGAAACUGGAAAACUUGAGUGCAGAAGAGGAAAGUGGAAUUCCAUGUGUGGCGGUGAAAUGCGCAGAGAUAUGGAGGAACACCAGUGGCGAAGGCGACUUUCUGGUCUGUAACUGACGCUGAUGUGCGAAAGCGUGGGGAUCAAACAGGAUUAGAUACCCUGGUAGUCCACGCCGUAAACGAUGAGUGCUAAGUGUUAGGGGGUUUCCGCCCCUUAGUGCUGCAGCUAACGCAUUAAGCACUCCGCCUGGGGAGUACGACCGCAAGGUUGAAACUCAAAGGAAUUGACGGGGACCCGCACAAGCGGUGGAGCAUGUGGUUUAAUUCGAAGCAACGCGAAGAACCUUACCAAAUCUUGACAUCCUUUGACAACUCUAGAGAUAGAGCUUUCCCCUUCGGGGGACAGAGUGACAGGUGGUGCAUGGUUGUCGUCAGCUCGUGUCGUGAGAUGUUGGGUUAAGUCCCGCAACGAGCGCAACCCUUAAGCUUAGUUGCCAUCAUUAAGUUGGGCACUCUAAGUUGACUGCCGGUGACAAACCGGAGGAAGGUGGGGAUGACGUCAAAUCAUCAUGCCCCUUAUGAUUUGGGCUACACACGUGCUACAAUGGACAAUACAAAGGGCAGCGAAACCGCGAGGUCAAGCAAAUCCCAUAAAGUUGUUCUCAGUUCGGAUUGUAGUCUGCAACUCGACUACAUGAAGCUGGAAUCGCUAGUAAUCGUAGAUCAGCAUGCUACGGUGAAUACGUUCCCGGGUCU